rnacentral:lncRNA from 1 species
UCUGUUCAGACUAGCCUAGAACCUUCUGGUGAUCAGUCUCCAGUGCUUGUUUCAAGAAGAGCUCCAUUCCACAUGCCUGCCAAUCCGUGUAUAAUCAGGAUCUUCUGAGAUAAGAAAAUCCACCUUUAUUCUGGACUACACCUGGUGGCAGCCUAUGUAAGGGACAUGGAAGAAGGAAGCUUUUGCUCUUUGCCUGUUUGUCCUCACUCUCACUGGCAAGUCCAUUCCCUCACUGCAUUAGAGCCUACAUCAUCCAGAUUCUGCUGCUUACUGAAGACCAGCUGAGACAUCCAGCCUUGUGAACUGAACAAUUACUUGAUGCUUGGACUUUCCAAUGGUAGACAGCAUUGUUAGACUAGUGGGACCACCGCCUGGCUAAUCAGCAGUGGGAUCAGACAGAAUAGAAACCUCCAUCUUUGUGUACCAGCUCUGAAACUUGACAAAUGUGGCCUGCAUGCAGGUAAUGGCUGUGAUCAGAGUUUGAGCACACUUUGCCCAAACUUGGCUUCACAAGACUUCAGGAAAUCUCCAAGGAACUGUCCAGACUUCACAGUGGCUGGACCUCAAACAAAAGCCAGCCUCCCAGACAAACAAACCUGCCAGGAGCAAACUCUUCUGUCGGGUGAAUUAAAGCAACCAUGCA